rnacentral:lncRNA from 1 species
CAACUGUCCUGAAUCCACCUAAUGGAACUGCUUAAAGGUUUGAGUCAGUAAUAGGAACAGAGAGAGAGAGAGCCAUCUUGUGGAAGAUCACUUUACUAUCGUGCAGAUUUGGGUGCCAGACACUUCAGAAGCUAAUUCAGGAGACCUUAUUUUUGCAACGAGAGACCUCAAUUACAAGUUCCAGCCUGAGAUGUGCAAAAUGCUUGUAAUGAAGCUGCAAACCAUGUGA